GACGAACGCUGGCGGCGCGCUUAACGCAUGCAAGUCGAACGGAAAGGCCUGCUUUCCCUUGUGGGUUGCGGGUACUCGAGUGGCGAACGGGUGAGUAACACGUGAGUGAUCUGCCCCCAACUUUGGUAUAAGCCUGGGAAACUGGUCGAAUUUCCGAUCGGACGUCAGGGUGGUGCCUGUGGUGGUAAACGAUUUUUUAGUGGGUGGGGAUGAGCUCGCGGCCUAUUAGCUUGUUGGUGGGGUAAUGGCCUACCAAGGCGGCGGCGGGUAGCCGGCCCGGGGGGGCGGACGGCAAAAUGGGGACUGAGAUACGGCCAAGAAUACUACGGGAGGCAGCAGUGGGGAAUAUUGCAAAAGGGGCGGAAGACUGAUGCAGCGACGCCGCGUGGGGGAUGACGGCCUGCGGGUUGUAAACUCCUUUCGACCGCGAGGAAGCCACCUGGUUGGAAGGGUGGUGACGGUAGUGGUAGAAGAAGCACCGGCUAACUACGUG
rnacentral:rRNA from 1 species